rnacentral:misc_RNA from 1 species
AACUUUCGGCAAUGGAUCUCUUGCCUCUCGCAUCGAUGAAGAACGCAGCGAAAUGCGAUAAGUAAUGUGAAUUGCAGAAUUCAGUGAAUCAUCGAAUCUUUGAACGCACCUUGCGCUCCUUGGUAUUCCGAGGAGCAUGCCUGUUUGAGCGUCAUUAAUAUAUAUAUCAACCUUCUCUUGUUGAGUGGAUUGGAUGUGGGGGUUUGCUGGCCUCUUAAAGAGGUUCAGCUCCUCUGAAAUGCAUUAGCAGAACAACCUUGUUCAUUGGUGUGAUAACUAUCUACGCUUUUGAAUGGUGAGGGACAGUUCAGCUUUCUAACAGUCCUCGGACAAUUCAUUAUUAAUGUGACCUCAAAUCAGGUAGGACUACCCGCUGAACUUAAGCAUAUCAAUAAGCGGAGGCU